GAUCCUGGCUCAGGAUGAACGCUAGCUACAGGCUUAACACAUGCAAGUCGAGGGGCAGCAUGAACUUAGCUUGCUAAGUUUGAUGGCGACCGGCGCACGGGUCAGUAACACGUAUCCAACCUUCCGUUUACUCAGGGAUAGCCUUUCGAAAGAAAGAUUAAUAACCUGAUAGUAUGGUGAGAUUGCAUGAUAGCACCAUUAAAGAUUUAUUGGUAAACGAAUGGGGUAUGCGUUCCAG
rnacentral:rRNA from 1 species